rnacentral:rRNA from 1 species
GAUGAACGCUAGCUACAGGCUUAACACAUGCAAGUCGAGGGGAAACGAUAGAGAAAGCUUGCUUUUUCUAGGCGUCGACCGGCGCACGGGUGAGUAACGCGUAUCCAACCUGCCCAUCACUUGGGGAUAACCUUGCGAAAGUAAGACUAAUACCCAAUGAUAUCUCUAGAAGACAUCUGAAGGAGAUUAAAGAUUUAUCGGUGAUGGAUGGGGAUGCGUCUGAUUAGCUUGUUGGCGGGGUAACGGCCCACCAAGGCGAUGAUCAGUAGGGGUUCUGAGAGGAAGGUACCCCACAUUGGAACGGAGACACGGUCCAAACUCCUACGGGAGGCAGCAGUGAGGAAUAUUGAUCAAUGGGCGAGAGCCUGAACCAGCCAAGUAGCGUGCAGGAUGACGGCCCUAUGGGUUGUAGACUGCUUUUAUAAGGGAAUAAAGUGAGUCUCGUGAGGCUUUUUGCAUGUACCUUAUGAAUAAGGACCGGCUAAUUCCGUGCCAGCCGCCGCCGUAAUAC